GGAUAACGUGCCCUUAAGAGGAGGAUAAUCUCGGGAAAUUGAGGAUAAUACUCCAUAGAUCAUGGGACCUGAAAUGGCCCAUGGUUCAAAGUUCCGGCGCUUAAGGAUCGGUCUGCGGCCUAUCAGGUAGUAGUGGGUGUAACGUACCUACUAGCCUAUGACGGGUAUGGGCCUUGAGAGAGGGAGCCCAGAGUUGGAUUCUGAGACACGAAUCCAGGCCCUACGGGGCGCAGCAGUCGCGAAAACUUCACAAUGGGGGCAACCCCGAUGAGGGAAUUCCUAGUGCUAGCACAUUUGUGUUAGCUUUUCUUUGGCUUAGAAAACUAGAGGAAUAAGGGCUGGGUAAGACGGGUGCCAGCCGCCGCGGUAAUACCUGCAGCCCAAGUGGUGGUCGAUUUUAUUGAGUCUAAAACGUUCGUAGCCGGUUCGGUAAAUCUUUGGGUAAAUCGGGGGGCUUAACCUUCCGACUUCCGAGGAGACUGCCGAACUUGGGACCGGGAGAGGCUAGAGGUACUUCUGGGGUAGGGGUAAAAUCCUGUAAUCCUAGAAGGACCACCGGUGGCGAAGGCGUCUAGCUAGAACGGAUCCGACGGUGAGGGACGAAGCCCUGGGUCGCAAACGGGAUUAGAUACCCCGGUAGCCCAGGGUGUAAACGCUGCAGACUUGGUGUUGGAGGCCCUUUGGGGGCAUUCAGUGCCGGAGAGAAGUUGUUAAGUCUGCUACUUGGGGAGUACGUCCGCAAGGAUGAAACU
rnacentral:rRNA from 1 species